rnacentral:rRNA from 1 species
AAGCUCGUAGUUGGAUUUCUGUUAAUUGUUUAUAUUUGUUAUCUAUUGAUACUUGUAUAACAUUAACAUAAUUCAUAUUACUAUUUAUCUAGUAUAUGAAAUUUUACUUUGAGAAAAUUAGAGUGCUUAAAGCAGGCUUUUGCCUUGAAUACUCCAGCAUGGAAUAAUAUUAAAGAUUUUUAUCAUUCUUAUUGGUUCUAAGAUAGAAAUAAUGAUUAAUAGGGACAGUUGGGGGCAUUUGUAUUUAACAGUCAGAGGUGAAAUUCUUAGAUUUGUUAAAGACAAACUAGUGCGAAAGCAUUUGCCAAGGAUGUUUUCAUUAAUCAAGAACGAAAGUUAGGGGAUCGAAGACGAUCAGAUACCGUCGUAGUCAUAACCAUAAACUAUGCCAACUAGAGAUUGGAGGUUGUUCCUUACUCCUUCAGCACCUUA